GGCUGGUCCAAAGGUAGUUAGUUGAGUUAUCUCAGUUGGUUGUUCAUAGGCAGUAACAGAUCAAACUCCUUAUUCUUCUCUGUCCCCUCUUCUCAAUACUGCACUUGACUAGUCUAAA
rnacentral:Y_RNA from 10 species